AAUGAACGCUGGCGGCGCGCCUAAUACAUGCAAGUCGAGCGAGAAGACGUAGCAAUACGUUUGUAAAGCGGCGAACGGGUGAGGAAUACAUGGGUAACCUACCCUCGAGUGGGGAAUAACUAGCCGAAAGGUUAGCUAAUACCGCGUACGCUCCUUGGACUUCGGUUCAGGGAGGAAAGCGAUACCGUGGGUAUCGCGCUCUUGGUUGGGCUCAUGUCCUAUCAGCUUGUUGGUGAGGUAACGGCUCACCAAGGCUUCGACGGGUAGCUGGUCUGAGAGGACGAUCAGCCACACUGGCACUGCGACACGGGCCAGACUCCUACGGGAGGCAGCAGUAAGGAAUAUUGCGCAAUGGGCGAAAGCCUGACGCAGCGACGCCGCGUGGGGGAUGAAGGUCUUCGGAUUGUAAACCCCUUUCGGGA
rnacentral:rRNA from 1 species